GGGGAGGCUUAAUGCAAGUCGAACGGAGAUAUCAUUUUCAAGCAAUUAGUUUACUAAGAGUGGAGAAGAUGAUAUCUUAGUGGCGGACGGGUGAGUAACGCGUGGGUAACCUGCCUUACACUGGGGGAUAACACUUAGAAAUAGGUGCUAAUACCGCAUAAUGAGAGGAGACGCAUGUCUUCUGUCUGAAAACUCCGGUGGUGUAAGAUGGACCCGCGUCUGAUUAGCCAGUUGGCGGGGUAACGGCCCACCAAAGCGACGAUCAGUAGCCGGCCUGAGAGGGUGAACGGCCACAUUGGGACUGAGACACGGCCCAAACUCCUACGGGAGGCAGCAGUGGGGAAUAUUGGACAAUGGGGGGAACCCUGAUCCAGCGACGCCGCGUGAGUGAAGAAGUAUUUCGGUAUGUAAAGCUCUAUCAGCAGGGAAGAAAGAAAUGACGGUACCUGACUAAGAAGCCCCGGCUAACUACGUGCCAGCAGCCGCGGUAAUACGUAGGGGGCAAGCGUUAUCCGGAUUUACUGGGUGUAAAGGGAGCGCAGACGGCAGUGCAAGUCUGAAGUGAAAGGCGGGGGCCCAACCCCCGGACUGCUUUGGAAACUGUGCUGCUGGAGUGCAGGAGAGGCAAGUGGAAUUCCUAGUGUAGCGGUGAAAUGCGUAGAUAUUAGGAGGAACACCAGUGGCGAAGGCGGCUUGCUGGACUGUAACUGACGUUGAGGCUCGAAAGCGUGGGGAGCAAACAGGAUUAGA
rnacentral:rRNA from 1 species